AACGAACGCUGGCGGCAGGCUUAACACAUGCAAGUCGAACGCCCCGCAAGGGGAGUGGCAGACGGGUGAGUAACGCGUGGGAACAUACCCUUUUCUACGGAAUAGCUCUGGGAAACUGGAAUUAAUACCGUAUACGCCCUACGGGGGAAAGAUUUAUCGGGGAAGGAUUGGCCCGCGUUGGAUUAGCUAGUUGGUGGGGUAAAGGCCUACCAAGGCGACGAUCCAUAGCUGGUCUGAGAGGAGGAUCAGCCACAUUGGGACUGAGACACGGCCCAAACCCCUCGGGGGGGCGGGAGUGGGGAAUUUGGGACAAGGGGCGCAACCCUGACCCGGCCUGGCCGGGUGAGUGAUGAAGGCCUUGGGGUUGUAAAGCUCUUUCACCGAUGAAGAAAAUGCCGGUAGUGGGAAAAGAACCCCCGGCAAACUUCGU
rnacentral:rRNA from 1 species